UCGAAGGUCACGGAGAUCAUUACGUAAAACGUGUCAGGCAUUGGUGUAGAGGUUGGGUGAGAACGGGACGUUUUGCUUCAUUAUCAAGAAGGUAAAAUAGCUAUUAGGCUUGAGAGGAGGGGUGAGAAAAAAUUGUAUAAAAGGCGAGAGAAAAGUUGGCAGGGAUCAGUCGAGUGAGCAUCUCCGACACGGCAACAACUCCAUAUUUCGUCGUAAUAUCAGUUCGCAAUCACGGCUAAUUAUGGCAUUGUGUUGCUGUUGGGUGCUGUAUCGUUGAUGUCGACCACGAGAAAAAAUCUUUCAAAAGGAAAGAGAAAAGGCAACAGAAGUCAAUCGAGUGAGCAUCUCCGACCCGGCAACAACUGGAUCUUCGUCGUAUUACCAGGUCGCAAUCACGGUUACCUAUGCCGUCGUGCUGCUAUUGGUUGUUGUAUCGUUGAUGGCUGGGUCGAACACUGGUGUACCGAUGUCUUCUGGAUAAGGCGGAUACCAAACCGCAACGCCGCCGCCUUACUACACAACAACAUACGCAACGACCAGUUACUACACCGAGGUUGCACAGUUGGGUUUACAGUUAAACUACCAAGGAUUCAGAUUAUUACACCAUAACUUGUGCUGCUCCCCGAGCUACACUACCAAAGCGCAGAGUACUACACCGAGGCUCCUAAGUACUACACCACCGAGGCAUCUACUGAGACUAAGCAACUACGUAUGCUGCCCCAACCUACGACACCGAGGCUCCAGCUUAUUACACCACUAAAGCUGUCGAAUACUACACUGGAGCGCCCAAGUACGAUAGAAGUCAGUCAAGUGAGCUUCUCCGACACGCAACACGGCAGCCCCGAAGUUUCGAAUAAUCUUCGUUUCAAACAGUGGAACGACAAAGAGUGAGGCAAAGAUAAUGGCGGCGUAGCAUUCGUACGUGUACACCGCGUCGUUAAACUUGACAUUGUCGGACGGAAAGCCGAACUUGACGAUGGCCGUGCCAUAAGCCUACGACAAGUGCCUUAUUGCCACAGGUGGUAAACAAAACUCUUU